UGGGGAGGGUUGGGGGUGAGCACAGCACAAAAAGCAUUUGUAAAUUAAGUUGAAAUGAUCAAACUUACAGUGAGUUUCAAGAAUAGUAUGAAGAAUGCCCACAGAUGAGUCAUCUGUUGUGUCCCCAGUUUGCCCAGUUUGCUUUUUCAAGCAUAAUGGUGCCUUCCCCCACACAUCAGUAAAUGUCUGCAAGAGCAGUAUGCACUCCAUAUUUUAGUCCUCAUUCUCUUUGAAGGGAGGUGGGGAAGCAAAGGCCUGUGUCCAGUUCUCUUGUGUCCCAUUAGUGUGUGUGUUUGUCUUCCGUGGUGCAGAAGAACUCUGUUUUGCAUUUUCAAAGAUGGCUUCUCUGCUGAGGUCCUGUGACUUGCACCGUUACCAUCAGGUGCUUCCUUACUGCUUUCAGUACUCCUCAUGUCUGUCUGAGUCACGCUCUCAGCAUUCGUCAUUUCUUUACCCCCCACUCCCACCCCCACCCCCACCCCCAGCCUUCCUUAGGCUGGUCUUGAACUCUGUAUCCUCCAGCCUCUGUCAUCCCACACCACACUUGGAUCCUUGUGGCAUAUUGUUGUUCACUUAAUACAGAGCCUCUUGUGGUCAUUAUUCCGAAAUUUCUUUUUCAUGCUCACCUGAAGGACAUCUUCACUGACUAUAUAAUCCUGAGUGGACAUGUCCUUUUAUUUCACUGUGUCUGUUACUUCUAACUAGAAGGCAGGGCUUGCAAAUUAUAGUUUUCCUGCUUAGUGUACUGUUUUCCCUCUCUUUAAGAUUUGUUCUGAAGCUGGACAAGAUGGCGUACAUACCUUUAAUCCCAGCUCUCAGGGGGCAGAGGCAGGCAGAUCUCUUGAGAUUGCAGCCAGCCUGGUCUACAGAGCAAGUUCCAGGACAGUCAGGGCUACACAGAAAAACCCUGACUUGAAAAUACAAAACAAAAGGACUUGUUCUUUAUUUUUGUUUUCAGGAGAUUAGCUGUAUGUCUAGAUGUGACUCUCUUUGUGUUCUGAUAGCAUUUACUGGUCUUUAUAAGAAAAAAACUGAUCAACUUUGGAACAUUUUCAAGGGUUUCAAAACUUAUUUCUUCCUCUUUAUUGCUUCUCCUCUUUCAAGACUUAGCCAUGCGUUUCAUAAAUAACCCUGUGGUUAUUCACCUUGCUGUGUGUGCAGGUUAUGUGUGUGGGUGUGCACAUUGCAGCAUGAGUGUGGAGGUCAGAGGACAGGGCAGCAUGAGGGUGAAGGCCAGAGGGCAGGGCAACAUGAGGGUGAGGUCAGAGGGCAGGGCAACAUGAGGGUGAGGUCAGAGGACAGGGCAGCAUGAGGGUAGAAGUCAGAGGACGGCAUGAGGGUGGAGGUCAGAGGGCAGCUUUGUGGAAUAGUCUCUCUUCUUGCCUUUAUGCUGGUUCUAGGAGUUGAACUCCAGUUGUCUUUCGGUCUAGACCUGUUGUGUUGGGGUGUUUGUUCUUGUUACCAGUUUGUUUUCUGGGGAUUUGUUCCCUCUUCACUAUGGGCUUGUUUUCCUGUGUAUGUUGAGCCUGAUUAGUGGAUGCUGUAAAGUUACUGUUCCAAUGUUGGGGUGGUCCCAGGACUGCUGUCCACUGACUGUAGUUUUUCUUGAGUGUGAGUUAUGUUUACUGUUUACACUAUGUUAUAGUGUUUCAGUAAUCUCUGUGUCAGCUAACGUCACUGGUAGCCCUUUAAGCUAGGCCCCUGAUAGGCCUCUCUGAAGGUGCGGUCAGCCGCCAGUCUUUUUUUUUUUUUUUUUUUGGUUCUUUUUUUUCGGAGCUGGGGACCGAACCCAGGGCCUUGCGCUUCCUAGGCAAGCUCUCUACCACUGAGCUAAAUCCCCAACCCCCAGCCGCCAGUCUUGACUGAUGUUUAACUGGGUUCUUAGUCUCAGUUAAGCUACUUGGCUCAGUCUCAUGCAGUUCUCACCAAAGGUUUACACUCAACAUAUGUGCAGAGUAAAGGCUCUUCCUCUGUUAGCCACAUUUAAAAAAAGGGGGGGGGGGUUGGGGGAUUUAGCUCAGUGGUAGAGCACUUGCCUAGCAAGCACAAGGCCCUGGGUUAGGUCCCCAGCUCCGGGAAAAAAAAAAAAAAAGAAAAACAAACAAACAAACAAAAAAAUACCUCUUACUUUCCAGCAGCUGCCAUGCUAUGAAUUCUUUUCCUUGAUUUUUCUAAACAUUAAAUAAUUAAAAACUUAUUUUAUUAUUUUUAUUUUUGAAAUCUCAAAGCCCAUCCUCAAUGACACACAUUUCCUCCAACAAGGCCACACCUACCCCAGCAGGCCACACCUACCCUAGCAGGCCACACCUGCCCCAGCAAGGCCACACCUACCCCAGCAAGGCCACACUUACCCCAGCAA